AUUGAACGCUGGCGGCAGGCCUAACACAUGCAAGUCGAGCGCGCGGCGGACGGGUGAGUAAAGUCUGGGAAACUGCCUGCUGGAGGGGGAUAACUCCUGGAAACGGUAGCUAAUAUCGCAUACCAUCAGAUGUGCCCAGAUGGGAUUAGCUAGUAGGUGGGGUAACGGCUCACCUAGGCGCCGAUCCCUAGCUGGUCUGUGAGGAUGACCAGCCACACUGGAACUGAGACACGGUCCAGACUCCUACGGGAGGCAGCAGUGGGGAAUAUUGCACAAUGGGCGCAAGCCUGAUGCAGCCAUGCCGCGUGUAUGAAGAAGGCCUUCGGGUUGUAAAGCACUUUCAGCGGGGAGGCGUUACCCGCAGAAGAAGCACCGGCUAACUCCGUGCCAGCAGCCGCGGUAAUAC
rnacentral:rRNA from 1 species